rnacentral:rRNA from 1 species
UACGUAGGGUGCGAGCGUUGUCCGGAAUUAUUGGGCGUAAAGAGCUUGUAGGCGGUUUGUCGCGUCUGCUGUGAAAUCUCAAGGCUCAACCUUGAGCUUGCAGUGGGUACGGGCAGACUAGAGUGUGGUAGGGGAGACUGGAAUUCCUGGUGUAGCGGUGAAAUGCGCAGAUAUCAGGAGGAACACCGAUGGCGAAGGCAGGUCUCUGGGCCACUACUGACGCUGAGAAGCGAAAGCGUGGGUAGCAAACAGG